rnacentral:rRNA from 1 species
GACGAACGCGGCGGCGUGCCUAAUACAUGCAAGUAGAACGCUGAAGGAGGAGCUUGCUUCUCUGGAUGAGUUGCGAACGGGUGAGUAACGCGUAGGUAACCUACCUGGUAGCGGGGGAUAACUAUUGGAAACGAUAGCUAAUACCGCAUAAGAGUAGAUGUCGCAUGACAUUUGCUUGAAAGGUGCAAUUGCAUCACUACCAGAUGGACCUGCGUUGUAUUAGCUAGUUGGUGAGGUAACGGCUCACCAAGGCAACGAUACAUAGCCGACCUGAGAGGGUGAUCGGCCACACUGGGACUGAGACACGGCCCAGACUCCUACGGGAGGCAGCAGUAGGGAAUCUUCGGCAAUGGACGGAAGUCUGACCGAGCAACGCCGCGUGAGUGAAGAAGGUUUUCGGAUCGUAAAGCUCUGUUGUAAGAGAAGAACGAGUGUGAGAAGUGGAAAAGUUUCA